AUGAUUCUUCUCAACGAUUCAAGAACUUCCAGAAACCGUUAUGGAGAGAAAAUUGAAGAGAGAAUUGAAAGGAUUUUUCAGGCUUUUGAAUUAUUUGCGGAACUGGUCUUGAGUUGUGAAUCGGUUAGGAGUUGGAUGACAAACCGGUUCACAGUUGGUUACAAUUCAGAACUUCUCAGAUUUAUUGGGGAUAACGUCGAGAGUAUAUUCAAGGACGCGAAUAAGAACACGGUUCUGAACCUUCUCCGAGAGCAACUCUGA